AAACCAUGAUAGGGACACUGUCUUUGUAAAUCCUUAAACCUCGUCCAAGCUUCAUAUAAACAUUUAUCAUCCUUUUGGUAAAAAGUGGCGAUAACAUUUCUUAAUUU